rnacentral:misc_RNA from 1 species
CAACCCUCGAACCCCUCCGGGGGGUCGGCGUUGGGGAUCGGCCCUGCCUUGGCGGUGGCCGUCUCCGAAAUACGAGUGGCGGUCUCGCCGCAGCCUCUCCUGCGCAGUAGUUUGCACACUCGCAUCGGGAGCGCGGCGCGUCCACAGCCGUUAAACACCCAACUUCUGUAAAUG